rnacentral:tRNA from 1 species
UUGAGGAGUCGCCUAAUAGGUAUGGCACCGCUCUUUGAAAGCGGAAAAAUGCAGGUUCGAUCCCUGCCUCCUCAGU